rnacentral:rRNA from 1 species
AUUGAACGCUGGCGGCAGGCCUAACACAUGCAAGUCGAACGGUAACAGGAAGAAGCUUGCUUCUUUGCUGACGAGUGGCGGACGGGUGAGUAAUGUCUGGGAAACUGCCUGAUGGAGGGGGAUAACUACUGGAAACGGUAGCUAAUACCGCAUAACGUCGCAAGACCAAAAAGGGGGACCUUCGGGCCUCUUGCCAUCGGAUGUGCCCAGAUGGGAUUAGCUAGUAGGUGGGGUAACGGCUCACCUAGGCGACGAUCCGUAGCUGGUCUGAGAGGAUGACCAGCCACACUGGAACUGAGACACGGUCCAGACUCCUACGGGAGGCAGCAGUGGGGAAUAUUGCACAAUGGGCGCAAGCCUGAUGCAGCCAUGCCGCGUGUAUGAAGAAGGCCUUCGGGUUGUAAAGUACUUUCAGCGGGGAGGAAGGGAGUAAAGUUAAUACCUUGGCUCAUUGACGUUACCCGCAGAAGAAGCACCGGCUAACUCCGUG